UGGGGAAUAUUGCACAAUGGGCGCAAGCCUGAUGCAGCCAUGCCGCGUGUAUGAAGAAGGUCUUCGGGUUGUAAAGUACUUUCAUCGGGGAGGAAGGGAGUAAAGUUAAUACCUUUGCUCAUUGACGUUACCCGCAGAAGAAGCACCGGCUAACUCCGUGCCAGCAGCCGCGGUAAUACGGAGGGUGCAAGCGUUAAUCGGAAUUACUGGGCGUAAAGCGCACGCAGGCGGUUUGUUAAGUCAGAUGUGAAAUCCCCGGGCUCAACCUGGGAACUGCAUCUGAUACUGGCAAGCUUGAGUCUCGUAGAGGGGGGUAGAAUUCCAAGUGUAGCGGUGAAAUGCGUAGAGAUAUGGAGGAAUACCGGUGGCGAAGGCGGCCCCCUGGACGAAGACUGACGCUCAGGUGCGAAAGCGUGGGGAGCAAACAGG
rnacentral:rRNA from 1 species